GGUCAAGUAGCUCAGUUGGUUAGAGCACUGUCCCCGGAUGGCAGGGACCUGGGUUCAAUUCCCAGCUUGGUCA
rnacentral:tRNA from 1 species